rnacentral:tRNA from 1 species
GGGGAUUUAGCUCAGUGGUAGAGUGCUUGCCUACCAAGCACUAGGCUCUGGGUUUAGUCCCCA